CAGCAGUCGCCGCGGUAAUACAGAGGGUGCGAGCGUUAAUCGGAUUUACUGGGCGUAAAGCGUGCGUAGGUGGUGGUUUAAGUCCGUUGUGAAAGCCCUGGGCUCAACCUGGGAAUUGCAGUGGAUACUGGGUCACUAGAGUGUGGUAGAGGAUAGUGGAAUUUCCGGUGUAGCAGUGAAAUGCGUAGAGAUCGGAAGGAACAUCUGUGGCGAAGGCGACUAUCUGGGCCAACACUGACACUGAGGCACGAAAGCGUGGGGAGCAAACAGGAUUAGAUACCCCCGUAGUCCCUGUCUCUUAUAC
rnacentral:rRNA from 1 species